UCCGGGCAAUUAAAGCUGGCACGCUGGAGAAGCUUGUGGAAAACCUUUUGACAUCUUUUGGAGACCACGAUUUUGCCUACACAGACAUCUUCCUCUCAACAUACAAGGCAUUUACAUCCACUAAGAGCUAGUCCUGGAGCUUCUCCUUGACCGAAAGGAGAACCUGGAGACCCCAACCUUCGAGGAGACAGAGAGCAAGAACUGCUCCGAGCACAAAGCUCUGCCUAGAACGGCUGUAGCAUCAGUGUUAAGUGCCUGGCUCAGUCAGUGCUCCGAGGACUUCCGAGAGCCUCCCAACUACCCUUCUCUCCUGAAGGUUCUGGACUACCUGAACAGGAACCUGCCU